AACAAAACAAAAGCCCCAAAUCCCACAUACUUUCUCUGUGCAUUAUUCCCAAAUUACUUUUAAAUUUUAAGGUAUGACUCACCAUUUCCAAGAUGAUAAAAGAUGCUGGGAAGGAAAAAUCCCAAUCAAUCAAGCAGGUGAAGAGGCAGACAUAAACAGGCUGAAGGUUAAUGGCAGCAACAUAAAAUAAGCCAGAGGCAAAGUAUCCCCCAAACCAGAGAAGUCUCAGAAACAUGCACGGCUGGAGACAGCAAGCCAGAGAGAGGUCUGGGCACUGCCUCACCUUCCACUGGUGCAUUGGGGAGCACUACGCCACUGGAAUGGUUAAGGUUGGACACCAGCCCUUUCAGAAUGUCCUGAAUCUACAGGAGGUGACAAGAGAAAAACAAGGGCAGGGGAAGAAAGACAGAAGUAGCUUAGAGAGAAGCAAGAAAGUCAGGGUAGGAGGAAGACGUGGGUUCAGGAAAACGAAAUGCUGAAAAA